AGGGACGUAGCUCAAUUGGCUAGAGCGCCGGUCUCCAAAACCGGAGGUUGCGGGUUCGAGACCCUCCGUCCCUGCCA
rnacentral:tRNA from 1 species